rnacentral:rRNA from 1 species
UGGGGAAUAUUGGACAAUGGGCGAAAGCCUGAUCCAGCCAUGCCGCGUGUGUGAAGAAGGUCUUCGGAUUGCAAAGCACUUUAAGUUGGGAGGAAGGGCAGUAAUCGAAUACCUUGCUGUUUUGACGUUACCGACAGAAUAAGCACCGGCUAACUCUGUGCCAGCAGCCGCGGUAAUACAGAGGGUGCAAGCGUUAAUCGGAAUUACUGGGCGUAAAGCGCGCGUAGGUGGUUCGUUAAGUUGAAUGUGAAAGCCCCGGGCUCAACCUGGGAACUGCAUCCAAAGCUGGCGAGCUAGAGUAGGGCAGAGGGUGGUGGAAUUUCCUGUGUAGCGGUGAAAUGCGUAGAUAUAGGAAGGAACACCAGUGGCGAAGGCGACCACCUGGGCUCAUACUGACACUGAGGUGCGAAAGCGUGGGGAGCAAACAGG